rnacentral:rRNA from 1 species
CUACGGGAGGCAGCAGUGGGGAAUAUUGGACAAUGGGCGCAAGCCUGAUCCAGCCAUGCCGCGUGAGUGAUGAAGGCCCUAGGGUUGUAAAGCUCUUUCGGCGGGGACGAUAAUGACGGUACCCGCAGAAGAAGCCCCGGCUAACUUCGUGCCAGCAGCCGCGGUAAUACGAAGGGGGCUAGCGUUGUUCGGAAUCACUGGGCGUAAAGCGCACGUAGGCGGAUUAUUAAGUCGGGGGUGAAAUCCCGAGGCUCAACCUCGGAACUGCCUUCGAUACUGGUAAUCUUCGAGUCCGGGAGAGGUGAGUGGAACUCCGAGUGUAGAGGUGAAAUUCGUAGAUAUUCGCAAGAACACCAGUGGCGAAGGCGGCUCACUGGCCCGAUACUGACGCUGAGGUGCGAAAGCGUGGGGAGCAAACAGGAUUAGAAACCCGUGUAGUCC